rnacentral:lncRNA from 1 species
GGAAAAGAAACUAUGGAUACAGGUCACAGGAGGGAUGAUCUUCAAAACAUUACAACAGUUGCACCUUUGUCACCCAGGCUGGAGUGCAAUGGUGUGAUCUUGGCUCACUGUGCAACCUCCGCCUCCUGGAUUCAAGCGAUUCUCCUGCCUCAGCCUCCUGAGUAGCUAGGAUUGCAGGUGCCCGCCACCAGGCCGAGCUAAUAUUUUGUAUUUUUA